rnacentral:rRNA from 1 species
AGCGAACGCUGGCGGCAGGCCUAACACAUGCAAGUCGAACGAAGUCUUCGGACUUAGUGGCGGACGGGUGAGUAACACGUGGGAACGUGCCUUUAGGUUCGGAAUAACUCAGGGAAACUUGUGCUAAUACCGAAUGUGCCCUUCGGGGGAGAGAUUUAUCGCCUUUAGAGCGGCCCGCGUCUGAUUAGCUAGUUGGUGAGGUAAAGGCUCACCAAGGCUACGAUCAGUAGCUGGUCUGAGAGGAUGACCAGCCACAUUGGGACUGAGACACGGCCCAAACUCCUACGGGAGGCAGCAGUGGGGAAUCUUGCGCAAUGGGCGAAAGCCUGACGCAGCCAUGCCGCGUGGAUGAUGAAGGUCUUAGGAUUGUAAAAUCCUUUCACCGGUGAAGAUAAUGACUGUAGCCGGAGAAGAAGCCCCGGCUAACUUCGUGCCAGUCGCCGCAGUAAGAC